AUACGAAAGGUGCAAGCGUUGUUCGGAUUUACUGGGCGUAAAGAAAGUGUAGGUUGUUUAUUAAGUCGGAUGUGAAAUCCCGGGGCUCAACCUCGGAACUGCAUUCGAUACUGGUAGACUAGAGUUCGGGAGGGGUAAGCGGAAUUCCGUGUGUAGCAGUGAAAUGCGUAGAUAUACGGAGGAACACCUGAGGCGAAGGCGGCUUACUGGACCGAUACUGACAUUGAGACUCGAAAGCGUGGGUAGCAAACAGGAUUAGAAACCCGGGUAGUCC
rnacentral:rRNA from 1 species